GUGCUCACUUCAGCAACACAUAUACUAAAAUUGGAACAAUAUACAGAAGAUUAGCAUGGCCCCUGCACAAGGACAACCAAUUUGUGAAGCAUUCCAUAUUAAA